UCCUACGGGGGGCAGCAGUGGGGAAUAUUGCACAAUGGGGGAAACCCUGAUGCAGCGACGCCGCGUGAAGGAAGAAGUAUCUCGGUAUGUAAACUUCUAUCAGCAGGGAAGAAAACAGACGGUACCUGACUAAGAAGCCCCGGCUAACUACGUGCCAGCAGCCGCGGUAAUACGUAGGGGGCAAGCGUUAUCCGGAAUUACUGGGUGUAAAGGGAGCGUAGACGGUGAUGCAAGUCUGGAGUGAAAGGCGGGGGCCCAACCCCCGGACUGCUCUGGAAACUGUGUAACUUGAGUGCAGG
rnacentral:rRNA from 1 species